CGUCACGUCUGUAGCCACUGUACUUGUUCUCCGUUUGCACACUCUCUCUCUGUCACGUGCGUGGAGCCCCUCGGUUCGGUCUGCCUCGCUCUCUUCUCUUUCUUCUUUCCCUUCUUCCUCUUCUUCUUUCUUCCUUUCUUCUUCGUCUUCAUUUUUUCUUUCUUUUUUUUUUUUCUUCUUUUCUUAUUCUUCUCUUUCUACCCAACUGCGUCUCCUCUCUCUCUCUCUCUCUCUCUCUCUCUCUCUCCCUCCUUUUUUUUCUCUCUCUAACCAAUGACAACUACUCUCUUCUUUCUUUCUCCUUCGGUUGUGGUGUCACGCAACAUCGCGCGACCCACUUCCUCUCUAAAUCUCCCUCGUCGUUCCCUCUCUCAGUCACAACCUUCAUCUCUCACUCCCUCCCUCUCUUUUCUCUCUUUGUUUUUUUUCUUUCUUUUUAUGUUAUUUAAUUACGUAUAUAUACAUAUAUAUUAUAUAUAUGGCCAUGUGUUUUCUUCUAAAAGUACACUCAGGUUCUUCUUUUCUUUAUUUUUUUCUUUUGUUUAAUUAUAUAUAUACAUAAACAUAUAUAUAUAUAUAUUCAACAUGGUUUUUU
rnacentral:lncRNA from 1 species